GGCAUAUAGCAGUGCUACUGAUUUGUGUACAUUGAUUUUGUAUCCUGGAACUGUACCGAUUCAUUUAUCCAGUCUAGGAGCUUUAGAUGAGUCUUUAGGAUUUUCUAGGUAUACAAUCACAUCAUUGGUGAACAGUGACAGUUUGACUUCCUCUUUUCCAAUUUCAAUCUCCUUUAUUUCUUUCUCUUGUCUGAUUGCUCUGACUAGGACUUCCAAUACUAUGCUGAAUAGAAGUGGUAAAAGUGGAUAUUCUUGUCCUGCUCCCGUUCUCAGAGGGAAUGCUUUCAACAUUUCCCCUUUCAGUAUGAUGCUGGCUGUGUAUUUGUCAUAGAUGGAUUUUAUUACUUUGAGAGGAUGGAAUAAAAACCGCAACUCACAACUUUUCAAGAGGCCACCAGUCAUUAGACACUGGCAUCCGUUAGAACUGCUGCAAGCUUAAAUCAAACAGUCACCUGGAAGGAACAGGUCUCUGGAGACUCCCCUCUAGCUCUGAGAUCUGUAUUUCACAAUUAUUUGAGGCACUGUUAAAAGCAGAGAAUAAAAUAGUUGAAAAUUCACUUGCUGUUUUCAAUGUAUUAUUUAUGCAAGAGAAUGUGUAAUUUGGGAAAAAAGUAAAUCUGAAAACUGAAUAAUUUAAUAUACAUGUCUUUGUUAAAGUUUUAAAAUAUUAUUUUCCAUGGUAACCAUUAUUAAAUAGAGAACUAUGGAAUGGACUGACAGGGCUGGAUGGAUGUAGAGUGGAAACAUGUACAAAU
rnacentral:lncRNA from 10 species